AUUGAACGCUGGCUGCAGGCCUAACACAUGCAAGUCGAACGGUAACAGGAAGAAGCUUGCUUCUUUGCUGGCCAGUGGCGGGCGGGUGGGUAAUGUACGCGAAACUGACUGGUGGAGGAGGUUAGCUACAGGAAACGGUAGCUAGUCCCGCAUCAUGUCGCAAGCCCAAAGAGGGGGACCUUCGGGCCUCUUGCCUUUGGAUGUGCCCAGAUGGUGUUUGUUAGUAGGUGGGGUGCCGGCUCACCUAGGCGACGAUCCGUAGCGUGUCUGAGAGGAGGACCAGCCACACUGGAACUGAGACACGGUCCAGACUCCUACGGGAGGCAGGAGUGGGGAAUAUUGCACAAUUGGCGCAAGCCUGAUGUAGCCAUGCCGCGUGUAGGAAAGAAGCCUUCGGGUAGUAAAGUUCUUUCGGCGGGGAGGAAGGGAGUAGAGUUAAUACCGUGACUCAUUGACGUUACCCGAAGAAGAAGCACCGGCUAACUCCGUG
rnacentral:rRNA from 1 species